rnacentral:rRNA from 1 species
AGUGAACGCUGGCGGUAGGCCUAACACAUGCAAGUCGAACGGCAGCACAGUAAGAGCUUGCUCUUACGGGUGGCGAGUGGCGGACGGGUGAGGAAUACAUCGGAAUCUACUUUUUCGUGGGGGAUAACGUAGGGAAACUUACGCUAAUACCGCAUACGACCUACGGGUGAAAGCAGGGGAUCUUCGGACCUUGCGCGAUUGAAUGAGCCGAUGUCGGAUUAGCUAGUUGGCGGGGUAAAGGCCCACCAAGGCGACGAUCCGUAGCUGGUCUGAGAGGAUGAUCAGCCACACUGGAACUGAGACACGGUCCAGACUCCUACGGGAGGCAGCAGUGGGGAAUAUUGGAUAAAGGGCGCAAGCCUGAUCCAGCCAUACCGCGUGGGUGAAGAAGGCCUUCGGGUUGUAAAGCCCUUUUGUUGGGAAAGAAAAGCAGCAGGUUAAUACCCCGCUGUUCUGACGGUACCCAAAGAAUAAGCACCGGCUAACUUCGUG